CUAGCCUUUAUAUUUCUUUUAGUUGGGACUAUAAUUUGGAGAAGCCCAAAAUAAUUAUUAUUUCUUCCAAUCAAAAUCCCCACGGUUUCCCUUCUCCUAAUUUCAUUUUACACGAUUUCUUCAUCAAAAUCCCCAUUCCCCAAUAAUCUCUCCAACAAACUGAUCAAAUCUCUACAUUAUAUAUCUCUCCCCACAACCGCAUCUUUUAUCAGCGCCGUUUCAUAAUCCCAGUGCAGCUUUUCUUCUCUUCUGCCAAGUGGGAAGGAGAAACUGAGAGAGCUGUGAUUACCGUCUGUUUCUGCAAGUUUUGCUUCUUCCAGAAGAUUGAGCGGCGACGGACGUGGAGGAUGUUGAGCAGAAUUCAUGGAUAAUUAUGUUUGGUUUGGUAUUGUUGGAUAUGUCGUGUCUUCAUAUUCUGCAUUAUCCAUGUCUUGAAUGCUUCCGCAAAAUAGUCUUUUUUAUUAUUAGAACUUUCUUAUCGUUGAGAGUCUAACUCUUUUUAAAAUUGUUUAGUGUCUAGUCUUUAAUUUCCUUAGAGUUGGUACUUCGUUGAGAUAAUACUAUGUCGUUUUUUUCAAGUUAUUUCAGUUAAUUAAAUAUUUUGGUCAAAGACGUAUGUUUCCCUUUCUUCACUGCUUCUUUAAACCCUCCCCUAGUCGCGAUCGACCGUGUUUCAUCUAUAGCUUCUACAAAUGUAUAUGACUUUUUUUCUGUAUACAAUAGUGCAUUUUUCGUA